UAGAGGGUAGCUCAGUUGGUAGAGCAAGAGACUCUUAAUCACAAGGUCAUGGGUUUGAGCCCCAUGUUGGAAA